UAAAAAAGAGGAAAAAGUGUUUUGUCAAAACGGCUGUCGUGGGGCAUCGUUGCCGCGUUUCGUCCAAAGACGGUCAGAAAGGGUUUCUGUUUACUCAUACCCCACAAACACACUCUCUCUCUCUCUCGACUGUUCUACUUCUUAGCAGCGAGGACCUUAGAAAUGCUCCGAAAACCUUUGCAGAGAAAACAGUUUUUUUAGUAAAGGGGAUGAACAAAAGAAAAAGGACCUUUGUCCACCUGCUUCGCUUAGCUCUCUCAAGUAAAUUACCAUUGCUUGUGGGAGAGGCCAUUGCCUCAGGUUCCUCCACAAGAAGAGUUGAAGAUGGUGCAACAUCAGAUCCCGUUACCUUACUUCGAAUGGAAUUUUAGCCCAUGAAUUUUAAUUUUCUAGAGUUUAUGGCCUUUUUUCUUUACUAGAUUCCGCAUAUAUUUUCUUCUUUAUGCCCCCCUUUGAAGUUGAAUAUGUGUGUGAGUGGUGCAGGCAAUACUCUUCUGUCAAUUGUGGUCACUUCAUAUAGUUGAAUCAUUUAUUGUGAUAUCCUUUGGCCCAGUCUGGUUCCUUGGAUUCAUCUUGGCCCAGUCUGGUUUCUUGGAUUCAUCUUGGCUAUCUAACAUCCUGAAAUCAUUUUAUAAUAUCUUCCACGGUUUACCAAGGAUU